GGGGCUGGAUGAAACUUUCAGACCAUGCAGAAAUGUGUGGUAACAGUUCGAUUUGGGGGCUAGCUAUAAAAAGCCCCCUUCUUCCCGUGACCAGGAUGUGUGGUAACUUCUUCAUCGAUUGUAACUCAAUUUUUUUGGAGAUCUUCCUCCCAUUUCACUCAAUCUAGUUGAUUUUUGGGGACUGAAAGACAAGUGCCGAUCUACACUCCAACCAAAGCAAAAGGUUUGGAGGCCGCCUCAAGGUAUACCAUCAGUGGUUUGCAAUCACCUUCUUGGUGAUAUCUCAACGAGAAGAGAAUGAGCUUUCAUGGUGUUGGUGUGCCUUUAUGGUAACACCCACCCCUCCAACAGUGACUAGUUUCCCUCCAAAGAAGUGAACAUCGGGAUACAUCAUCGUCUCCGGUGUUUUUGGUUAUAUCUAGCCCUAACUCAUUACUUGUGGUUUACCUUGGUCACGUAACUUUGCUAGCACCAUAUGGAUUGUUUAUUUCACUACAAUUGGUUAAGAUAUUGUAAGUAUGGGGUUAGUAGAAAACCUAUUAUUAGACUAGCAUUACCAAAGAAAUCACGUGGAGAAAUAUUUUUAUUGAGCGUGGUCCUAAUCAAAUCAAUUGAGUUAAACCUAAGAUAUAUUGUUGUGAUUUGUAUCAAUCAGGAUCCCUAGAUAACACCUUAUUUGUAGAGAUUGAUUCGUUGUACAAGUAACCUUAGCGAUCAAGUUUUAUCAAUACAAGGCAAAUCCCUAUGGGGUAUUGCAUAGCAAAACAUUGUAUUUGAGUUAGUAACAGAGGCAAGAUGCCGCGGUUGCGGCAAUGACAGAACCAA